UGAGGAAUAUUGGUCAAUGGACGAGAGUCUGAACCAGCCAAGUCGCGUGCAGGAAGAAUGUCCUAUGGAUUGUAAACUGCUUUUGCAGGGGAAUAAAGUGCAUCACGUGUGAUGUUUUGUAUGUACUCUGCGAAUAAGGAUCGGCUAACUCCGUGCCAGCAGCCGCGGUAAUACGGAGGAUCCGAGCGUUAUCCGGAUUUAUUGGGUUUAAAGGGUGCGUAGGCGGGAUAAUAAGUCAGUGGUGAAAGUUUGCAGCUUAACUGUAAAAUUGCCGUUGAAACUGUUAUUCUUGAGAGUAGAUAAGGUAGGCGGAAUGUGUUGUGUAGCGGUGAAAUGCAUAGAUAUAACACAGAACCCCGAUUGCGAAGGCAGCUUACCGGGCUACAUCUGACGCUGAUG
rnacentral:rRNA from 1 species